UAGCUACGUAGGUGCACCUGCGGAAGGAACAUUAACGAGUUAGGGUCUGCGAUGCCCGAGGUCCUACCCUUUGUGUAAUUACCAUGUUGAUUUGGCGGGCCCGUCUUGAAACACGGGCCAGUCUCAGGCGAGCGUCGGUCGCUUCGCGGCGUCGUCGUUCAACUGGGCUCACGUUUUACUACAAACUAUUAAAGUAUCAGAAUGUCUACUGCGAAUUAACGCAUUUAAAUACAACUUUCAGCAACGGAUCUCUUGGCUCUCGCAUCGAUGAAGAACGCAGCGAAAUGCGAUAAGUAAUGUGAAUUGCAGAAUUCAGUGAAUCAUCGAAUCUUUGAACGCACCUUGCGCUCCUUGGUAUUCCGAGGAGCAUGCCUGUUUGAGUGUCAUGAAAUUCUCAACCUAACGAGUCUUUGCGGGCUCGGUAGGCUUGGACUUGGAGGUUCUUGUUGGCCUAACGGUCGGCUCCUCUUAAAUGCAUUAGCUCGGUUCCUUGCGGAUCGGCUCACGGUGUGAUAAUUGUCUACGCCGCGACCGUUGAAGCGUUUUGGCCGGCUUCUAAUCGUCUCGUUGGAGACACUACUCUUUAUGACCUUCUGACCUCAAAUCAGGUAGGACUACCCGCUGAACUUAAGCAUAUCAAUAAGCGGAGGAAAAGAAACUAACAAGGAUUCCCCUAGUAACUGCGAGUGAAGCGGGAAAAGCUCAAAUUUAAAAUCUGGCGGUCUUUGGCCGUCCGAGUUGUAGUCUGGAGAAGUGCUUUCCGCGCUGGACCGUGUAUAAGUCUCUUGGAACAGAGCGUCAUAGAGGGUGAGAAUCCCGUCUUUGACACGGACUACCAGUGCUUUGUGAUGCGCUCUCAAAGAGUCGAGUUGUUUGGGAAUGCAGCUCAAAAUGGGUGGUAAAUUCCAUCUAAAGCUAAAUAUUGGCGAGAGACCGAUAGCGAACAAGUACCGUGAGGGAAGAUGAAAGCACUUUGGAAAGAGAGUUAAACAGUACGUGAAAUUGCUGAAAGGGAAACCACUUGAAGUCAGUCGCGUGGCCGG
rnacentral:sRNA from 1 species